GCAACAAUUAACAGGUGAUGGAUCCCACCAACGACACUUGACGACACUCGGCACCCUACUAGCCAACCAUUGGGGUGUGUUAAAUGUUGUUGCCUAGUGUAAUGCUUAACCAUUGCUGUGUGUUCGUUGACUUUCGGAGUGGGGAGUGUCUCUGCUUAUUUGGAUGGCCUUAUCGCUCUUAACGGGAAAAUAUUUCCCCUGAUAAGCGCACAUGGCGCACUUUCUGCCUGGCUGAAGACAACAUGAAUCAGUCGCUGUGCCGUCAGCGUAUCGCCGUAUCAGUCUUAACCUUCCCCUUUUUGCUAUGUUUUGGUGGACAGCCUUUGGGCAUUUCCAAAAGUUCUGGUUUUUUUAAAACCGGUACACGAAGAGUAACUAGGGUAUUUUAUAUUUGUGGUCGGAGCAAUGUGCGGAACGCCCAGAAGGAAACGUUUCCGACCCCAAAAAGUAUAACUAUUCUUGAUCAGCAUCAAUAGUCGAG
rnacentral:lncRNA from 1 species